UGAGGAAUAUUGGUCAAUGGGCGAGAGCCUGAACCAGCCAAAUCGCGUGAAGGAAGACUGCCUUAUGGGUUGUAAACUUCUUUUAUACAGGAAUAAAAAAGGGGACGUGUCCCUUAUUGCAUGUACUGUAUGAAUAAGCAUCGGCUAACUCCGUGCCAGCAGCCGCGGUAAUACGGAGGAUGCGAGCGUUAUCCGGAUUUAUUGGGUUUAAAGGGUGCGCAGGCGGGCUUUUAAGUCAGCGGUGAAAUCUCGGGGCUUAACUCCGAAACUGCCGUUGAAACUGGGAGUCUUGAGUAUGGAUGAAGUAGGCGGAAUUCGUUGUGUAGCGGUGACAUGCUUAGAUAUAACGAGGAACUCCGAUUGCGUAGGCAGCUUACUAAGCCAUAACUGACGCUCAAGCACGAAAGCGUGGGGAUCAAAACAGGAUUAGAUACCCCUGGUAGUCCACGCCGUAAACGAUGAUUACUAGUUGUAUGCGAUAUACCGUAUGUGACUAAGCGAAAGCGAUAAGUAAUCCACCUGGGGAGUACGCCGGCAACGGUGAAACUUAAAUGAAUUGACGGGGUCAUAGCUG
rnacentral:rRNA from 1 species